UUAGGGAAUUAGCUCAGCAGUA
rnacentral:miRNA from 1 species